ACCAGCUUGACAUUGCCAAACGCGCUGGCCUGAUACUCGGUGAACACCGGGCGCGCGACCGUGCUGGCCGCGUUCAGCAACAAGCUGCUUUCGUCCCCUGAGACCAGCGGGCUUCUCCCCAGUAGGGAAGUGGAAGUUCUUAGUACACAAACUCACUCCAUCCAGUGCUCCAUGGCUCCCCCAAAUCCUGGGGUGGUAGGGGCUUAGUUCCCACGCCAUGCAGAUGCAAGCAGAUAGUGGACACCAGGGGACCCUGGCUUUAUGAGUUGACAAGGUUCAGCCUUCUAGGAGAGACAAAUAAAUAUCUGCACGAUAAAAUCAGCUGCAAAGAUCAAUAGCCACAUUCACAAAGCCAACUUCUAAAUAUGGUUCUUGACCUGGAGCUUCAAAGGAAUCUGAUAACUCACUGAACAGGUAUGCAAACAAGGUAGUUGGCUCUCUUGCAUGGUUCUUCAGGGCUACAGAAGUGUGUGUCCACACUGAAAAAAGAAGAAAUUGAACCCACACAGCGUCUUUGAAUCCACACAGCAUCGCUUCAGCUACAUUUUAUCCAUUACAAAGAGUGACAAGCCUGCUCAGAUGAAAGGGGAGAGGACAGAGCCCCCGUUUCUUAAUGAACUGAAUGCUAAGGACACAUUGUAGAACAGGCCGUGGGAUGGGACAUAUUGUUGCAGCAUCUUUGAAAAUGUAAUAAUGUAAUUGGGCACACGUGUUCUUGGAUAGAAUAAUUUUACAUCAUAUGAAUGUUAAUUAUUUAUCAGUUAAUGUGUAAUUUAUUUUUUUGGGAAGUUAAAAAAUAUCUUUAUUAAUCUAGUUUAUAACCUCUAACUGCAAUUCUGUUGACCACUGAGCUGCAGUAGCAGUUUUUGUAAAAACAUGUUCCUCUGAGAGCCCAAACUUGGAAUCAAGUUGUUAUAAUGAAAUUUAUUUUUAAAAUUUCUCACCUGCAACAUUUAUAGAACACUUGGAGAUUGAAGAGUGUCGGGGAGAAAGUCUAAUUUAUGCAUUAGGUGUCUAACAGGAAGGGGUUGCAGACUUUAAUUUCUCUUCUCUUUCCUUCUGAUUGAAUUAAAAGGGUAUGGGUAACCUGAUCCGUAAGAUAGAUGGUGGCUCUGUGAACCAUUUCGUUCCCCAGGUUGUGGAAGAACAUGAAGACCUUGAAGUUUGAGAUGCCUAGCAUGGAGAACCCAUGGCAUAUUUGAAUUCUUCUUUCACAGAAGCACUGAGUUCCAUGCAUGAAAACAGCCACAGACAAAGGCAGCCAUGGAACAGUGUGAAAUGAGUCUGCCCCAGUGCUAAGGACUGGUCUUCUUGGUCUUUGGAGUUGGCCACACUGGCUGUAUCCUUACUGGCUGUUUUACAUUUCACAAGUUAUUUAACCUCUCUGGGCUCCAAUUUCCUUAUACAAUAUUCUAACAGCUUUUCCACUCCUUAGUAAAUUAUGAUUCUGUUCUGUAGUUCCAGCAAAAGUCCCAGAUUACUUCUCAUUGACCUGGCUUGGGAGAUGGUUGUAUAAGUGAGGCAGAUACUAUGACUAGGAACAUGAAAUCCUUUUUUUUGGUCAAAGAUUCAGGCAUAUGUGGUCAGCUGCACCGGGGCAGAGACUGGCUGCAGAAACCACCACAAAAUCUGAGCCAGGGUAGGAAAAUGUGAAUUGUCAUUGAAGAAUUGCUGGAGGCUCAGUGCAGACCACUCCAAGAGUGAAAAACCCCAAAGAAGGCAGAGGAAGGUCCUCCACAAGACCUAUCCCCCAGUUAAUGUGUAAUUUAAUGUAUAGAAUGUACCCACCCCACCCCCAGCUCACAUGUAAUUGUUGUACAGUAUUUCUUUUUUUAAUUGUUAAACUUUGUCUUUAUUAUUAUUUUAAAGGUUAAUAUUUGUUUAUAUUUACCAUGUGUUAAUUGAAGUGUUUUAUUAAUACUCCUUCUCACAUCCAUCCAUCCUUUGGAAUUUCUUUCUUCUAAAAUUCCUCAGCUAAAUUAUCAUUCAAGAAUAAAAGUGAAUGUGCCCCAUCUGUGGUAAAUUCUGAUUUUUGUCCAAAAAGCCUUUAUAUCACUUUUAUUUUUGAAUGAUAAUUUAGCUAAAUAUAGAAUUCUAAGAUUCAUUACUAUUUGUUACUAAUAUUAAAUAUUUUUAUUUUAAAAUGAUUUUGUGUCAAAAUACUCCCAGGUUCAAAAACAACGGAGACAAACUGGCAAAACCAAACCCCCCAUUGCCCCAUUAUAUCUGUCAUACUAGUAAAUUGAUAAGGUGUGUUCCUGCUAACAAGAAGCUUAUUGUCUCUUUAACUUCAAAGCAGAAAUAUUAAACAAAAAAUAAAUAUAUACUUUAUAUACGAAUUUUAUAUUAUAUAUCAAACAAAAUAAAUAUUGUUGAAAAUUUGGAUGAUACAUUCAGAAUUUUUGUUUAAAUAAUAUUGAGAAGAGAAGAAAUUGCCCUCUUUUCUAGUUACUAAAGAAAUAUUAGAAAUUAAGAAUUUAUUUGAAUGCUUAAAUGAAUGAGCAAGGAAGAACACAACUUAAUUUACUUUUCUGAUGUAAAGCAGAGGAUCUGCCUGAGAUCUACCUAAAAUUGACCUGUUGGGCAGUUCCUUUUGGAAGUAACUAAGUCCUCUCUUGAUUUGAGAAGACUACAUAGCCUACAAGAAUAAAGUGACCUGUCAAAGAUAUAUUACUAAUAAACAGAAGAAGGUCUGGGGAAUGGUUUGGAAAAUAUAUUUUUUUUUCAUGGGGAUGGGAGGAGGUCAAUGGAUGUGCUUCAGCAAUCAGUGAACCCCGGAGCAUUGCAGGAAAUAUUUUGUCUUUUCUCAUUUUCUCCCUCCAUGCUUUUCUUCCUAUCCUUACAGAAAUAGAAAAGUAAGGAGAUAGAUGAAUCCUUCCAGAGUAUCAGAAAAGAAAAUCUUGGAAGUUUUCUGAGUAAUAGAAAACUUAGACUAUGUUUGAAUAGAAACCAUAGACACUACAAACAUUGUACUCUUUAGAUAGGUUUCAACUAAAUCAAGUCUUACUUGAAAUUUCAGUUAACAUUUGCAUGUUUCUUAAUGGUUAUUAAAGGUUAAAAAGUCAUUUAAAAUGAAAUUUCUUACACUGAGGUAAAAAGAAUUGGGUAACUUAGAUUACAGUGAAAUUCAAUCUAGUCUAUUGCCAUUCAAAUAGAAAUCCGUAAUGAUGGUUUAAAGCAGACUUUCUAUAAAUAUUUAAUUAAUUUACUUUUUCAAACUUAUAUUAGGGAAAUGUACUUCAUCAAUGCUACUACCAGCUGACCAUUAUUGGACUAUUAAAGAAAGUUUUCAUUACUUGCUCUGUAUAUAGUUAUAAAACUGAAAAAGUUAAGCUUCAGAGAACUUUUCAUUAUAAUUAAACCAUUAAUACAUAUAUUUUUUAAAUAGUGAACUUUUUUUAAAUCAGAGAACUUUUCAUUAUAUUAGGCCAUUAAUAUGCAUAUUUUAAAAAUAGUCAUUGGCAGAGAAAGACAUAAUUUCACUCAGGUAUAAAAUCUAAAAAACAAAACA